CAAACUGUUACCGCAAGCACUUCACGUAACAAAAGCCGGGUCUUACGGUAACGCAGGCCCG
rfam:Pseudomonas syringae pv. tomato str. DC3000, complete genome.